GGCUGACUCCGGAGGUCAGCCCCAGCUGACUCAGCCAGGCAAGCUGACCGAGGCCUUCAAGUACUUCCUGCAAGGCAUGGGCUACAUGGCCUCAUCCUGCAUGACUCGCCUGUCCUGAUCUCGCACAGCUUCCCUGACAG